rnacentral:rRNA from 1 species
CCUGGUUGAUCCUGCCAGUAGCAUAUGCUUGUCUCAAAGAUUAAGCCAUGCAUGUCUAAAUAAACAUGGCGGGUACAGUGAAACUGCGAAUGGCUCAUUAAAUCAGUUAUGGUUCCCUUGGUCGCUCUAACCCUUACUUGGAUUACUGUGGUAAUCCUAAAGCUAAUACAUGCUGACGAGUUCUGACCUCCAGGGAUGCAUGCAUUUAUCAGACCAAAACCAACCCGGGCUUGCCCGGCCACGUUGGUGACUCUAGAUAACCUCAGGCCGAUCGCACGCCCCCGUGGCGGCGAUGAUGCAUUUGAAUGUCUGCCCUAUCAACUUUCAGUGCUACUUCCUGUGCCUACCAUGGUGACCACGGGUAACGGGGAAUCAGGGUUUGAUUGCAGAGAGGGAGCCUGAGAAACAGCUACCGCAUCCAAGGAAGGCAGCAGGCGUGCAAAUUACCCACUCGCGACCCAGGGUGGUAGUGAUGAAAAAUAACAAUACAGGACUCUUUCGAGGCCCUGUCAUUGGAAUGAGUACACUUUAAAUCCUUUAACGAGGAUCCAUUGGAGGGUAAGACUGGUGCUAGCAGCUGCGGUAAUUCCAGCUCCAAUAGCAUAUAUUAAAGUUGCUGCCAUUAAAAAGCUCGUAGUUGGAUCUUGGGAUCGAGCUGGCGGUCCACCGCGAGGCGAGCUCCCGCGUGUCCCAGCCCCUGCCUCUCGGCGCUCCCUUGAUGCUCUUAACUGAGUGUCCUGGGGGUCCGAAGCAUUUCCUUUGAAAAAAUGAGAGUGUUCAAAGCAGGCUGGUCACCGGAAUACUCCAGCUAGGAAUAAUGAAUAGGACUCCGGUUCUAUUUUGUUGGUUUUCGGAACUGGGCCAUGAUUAAGAGGGACGGCUGGGGGCAUUCGUAUUGUGCCGCUAGACGUGAAAUUCUUGGACUGUCGCAAGAUAGAUCAAAGAGAAAGCAUUUGCCAAGAAUGUUUUCAUUAACGAAGAAUGAAAGUCGGAGGUUCAAAGAUGAUCAGAUACUGUCAUAGUUCCGACCAUAAACGAUGCCGACUAGCGAUCCGGUGGUGUUAUUCCCAUGACCUGCUGGGCAGCUUAUGGGAAACCAAAGUCUUUGGGUUCCGGGGGGAGUAUGGUUGCAAAGCUGAAACUUAAAGGAAUUGAUGGAAGGGCACCUCCGGGAGUGGAGCCUGCGGCUUAAUUUGACUCAACACGGGAAACCUCACCCGGCCCGGACACGGAAAGGAUUGACGGAUAGAUAGCUCUUUCUCGAUUCUGUGAGUGGUGGUGCAUGGCCAUUCUUAGUUGGUGGAGAGAUUUGUCUGGCUUCCACAGGGCCGCCGAGAGCGGGUUCGGGCCCCGGUGAAAAAAAAUUUCCGGGCCCCCCAGCAAGGGCGGACCAGCUAAACAGGGCCAACGAGACGGGGGGGGGAAACCGGGGAAGCCAGGCCCGGAAUUUAUUCGGGCCCCCCAACAAGGGCAGACCAGCUAAACAGGGCCUACAAGGGGGAGGGGGGGAAGCCGGGCCCCAGUAAUUUGUCCUUGUCUUCCAUAGAGCAUACAAACACCCCAACUGGGCUUAAAUGAGCUUUGUUUAGAGAUUAAGGCUCUGCCUAAUUCUCCUUCUGUAACACCCGUCCCCACUUAUAAUAAAGGACACUUAGGUACUAAAUCUCUCACUCACGUUCCUCCCAUUUGGGAUGAUGCCAAGACUCAAGCUUCUAGGCCUAGAGCCAUAGUGCCCUGAA